AUAGCGUAUAUUAAAGUUGUUGCAGUUAAAAAGCUCGUAGUUGGACUUUAGGCAAGGCGGCCUGGUCACCCUCUGGGUGCACUGGGAUCGCUGCGCCUCACCUUCGGGGAACUAGUCGUGCUUCGGUGCGCUAGGGAACCGAGCCUUACCUUGAGGAAAUUAGAGUGUUUAAAGCAGGCUUAUGCUUGAAUACGUUAGCAUGGAAUAACAUGAUAGGACUUUGGUUCUAUUUUGUUGGUUUGAGGACCAAAGUAAUGAUUAAUAGGGACCGUUGGGGGCAUUAGUAUUCAAUAGUCAGAGGUGAAAUUCUUGGAUUUAUUGAAGACUAACUAAUG
rnacentral:rRNA from 1 species